rnacentral:rRNA from 1 species
UACGUAGGCGGAAAAUUAAGUCAGUAGUGAAAUCCUGCAGCUUAACUGUAGAACUGUUAUUGAUGCUGGUUUUCUUGAAUAUAGUUGAGGUAGGCGGAAUGUGUAAUGUAGCGGUGAAAUGCUUAGAUAUUACACAGAACACCGAUUGCGAAGGCAGCUUACUAAGCUAUGAUUGACGCUGAGGUACGAAAGCGUGGGGAGCGAACAGGAUUAGAUACCCUGGUAGUCC